UACGAAGGGGGCUAGCGUUGCUCGGAAUCACUGGGCGUAAAGGGUGCGUAGGCGGUUCUUUAAGUCAGGGGUGAAAUCCUGGAGCUCAACUCCAGAACUGCCUUUGAUACUGAAGAUCUUGAGUUCGGGAGAGGUGAGUGGAACUGCGAGUGUAGAGGUGAAAUUCGUAGAUAUUCGCAAGAACACCAGUGGCGAAGGCGGCUCACUGGACACAUAUUGACGCUGAGGUGCGAAAGCGUGGGGAGCAAACAGG
rnacentral:rRNA from 1 species